rnacentral:rRNA from 1 species
UUUAUGGGGUGACUGCGUACCUUUUGUAUAAUGGGUCAGCGACUUAUAUUCUGUAGCAAGGUUAACCGAAUAGGGGAGCCGAAGGGAAACCGAGUCUUAACUGGGCGUUAAGUUGCAGGGUAUAGACCCGAAACCCGGUGAUCUAGCCAUGGGCAGGUUGAAGGUUGGGUAACACUAACUGGAGGACCGAACCGACUAAUGUUGAAAAAUUAGCGGAUGACUUGUGGCUGGGGGUGAAAGGCCAAUCAAACCGGGAGAUAGCUGGUUCUCCCCGAAAGCUAUUUAGGUAGCGCCUCGUGAAUUCAUCUCCGGGGGUAGAGCACUGUUUCGGCAAGGGGGUCAUCCCGACUUACCAACCCGAUGCAAACUGCGAAUACCGGAGAAUGUUAUCACGGGAGACACACGGCGGGUGCUAACGUCCGUCGUGAAGAGGGAAACAACCCAGACCGCCAGCUAAGGUCCCAAAGUCAUGGUUAAGUGGGAAACGAUGUGGGAAGGCCCAGACAGCCAGGAUGUUGGCUUAGAAGCAGCCAUCAUUUAAAGAAAGCGUAAUAGCUCACUGGUCGAGUCGGCCUGCGCGGAAGAUGUAACGGGGCUAAACCAUGCACCGAAGCUGCGGCAGCGACGCUUAUGCGUUGUUGGGUAGGGGAGCGUUCUGUAAGCCUGCGAAGGUGUGCUGUGAGGCAUGCUGGAGGUAUCAGAAGUGCGAAUGCUGACAUAAGUAACGAUAAAGCGGGUGAAAAGCCCGCUCGCCGGAAGACCAAGGGUUCCUGUCCAACGUUAAUCGGGGCAGGGUGAGUCGACCCCUAAGGCGAGGCCGAAAGGCGUAGUCGAUGGGAAACAGGUUAAUAUUCCUGUACUUGGUGUUACUGCGAAGGGGGGACGGAGAAGGCUAUGUUGGCCGGGCGACGGUUGUCCCGGUUUAAGCGUGUAGGCUGAUUUUCCAGGCAAAUCCGGAAAAUCAAGGCUGAGGCGUGAUGACGAGGCACUACGGUGCUGAAGCAACAAAUGCCCUGCUUCCAGGAAAAGCCUCUAAGCAUCAGGUAACAUCAAAUCGUACCCCAAACCGACACAGGUGGUCAGGUAGAGAAUACCAAGGCGCUUGAGAGAACUCGGGUGAAGGAACUAGGCAAAAUGGUGCCGUAACUUCGGGAGAAGGCACGCUGAUAUGUAGGUGAAGCGACUUGCUCGUGGAGCUGAAAUCAGUCGAAGAUACCAGCUGGCUGCAACUGUUUAUUAAAAACACAGCACUGUGCAAACACGAAAGUGGACGUAUACGGUGUGACGCCUGCCCGGUGCCGGAAGGUUAAUUGAUGGGGUUAGCGGUAACGCGAAGCUCUUGAUCGAAGCCCCGGUAAACGGCGGCCGUAACUAUAACGGUCCUAAGGUAGCGAAAUUCCUUGUCGGGUAAGUUCCGACCUGCACGAAUGGCGUAAUGAUGGCCAGGCUGUCUCCACCCGAGACUCAGUGAAAUUGAACUCGCUGUGAAGAUGCAGUGUACCCGCGGCAAGACGGAAAGACCCCGUGAACCUUUACUAUAGCUUGACACUGAACAUUGAGCCUUGAUGUGUAGGAUAGGUGGGAGGCUUUGAAGUGUGGACGCCAGUCUGCAUGGAGCCGGCCUUGAAAUACCACCCUUUAAUGUUUGAUGUUCUAACGUUGGCCCCUGAUCGGGGUUGCGGACAGUGUCUGGUGGGUAGUUUGACUGGGGCGGUCUCCUCCUAAAGAGUAACGGAGGAGCACGAAGGUUGGCUAAUCCUGGUCGGACAUCAGGAGGUUAGUGCAAUGGCAUAAGCCAGCUUGACUGCGAGCGUGACGGCGCGAGCAGGUGCGAAAGCAGGUCAUAGUGAUCCGGUGGUUCUGAAUGGAAGGGCCAUCGCUCAACGGAUAAAAGGUACUCCGGGGAUAACAGGCUGAUACCGCCCAAGAGUUCAUAUCGACGGCGGUGUUUGGCACCUCGAUGUCGGCUCAUCACAUCCUGGGGCUGAAGUAGGUCCCAAGGGUAUGGCUGUUCGCCAUUUAAAGUGGUACGCGAGCUGGGUUUAGAACGUCGUGAGACAGUUCGGUCCCUAUCUGCCGUGGGCGCUGGAGAACUGAGGGGGGCUGCUCCUAGUACGAGAGGACCGGAGUGGACGCAUCACUGGUGUUCGGGUUGUCAUGCCAAUGGCACUGCCCGGUAGCUAAAUGCGGAAGAGAUAAGUGCUGAAAGCAUCUAAGCACGAAACUUGCCCCGAGAUGAGUUCUCCCUGAGACUUAGAGUCUCCUGAAGGAACGUUGAAGACGACGACGUUGAUAGGUCGGGUGUGUAAGCGCAGCGAUGCGUUGAGCUAACCGGUACUAAUGAACCGUGAGGCUUAACCUUACAACGCCGAAG